UACGGAGGGUGCAAGCGUUAAUCGGAAUUACUGGGCGUAAAGCGCGCGUAGGCGGUUUGUUAAGUCGGAUGUGAAAGCCCCGGGCUCAACCUGGGAACUGCAUACGAUACUGGCAAGCUAGAGUGCAAUAGAGGGGGGUAGAAUUCCAUGUGUAGCGGUGAAAUGCGUAGAGAUGUGGAGGAAUACCGGUGGCGAAGGCGGCCCCCUGGACAAAGACUGACGCUCAGGUGCGAAAGCGUGGGGAGCAAACAGG
rnacentral:rRNA from 1 species